rnacentral:miRNA from 1 species
GUCCAACCUGGGCUACAUAAGAAGUUAUACAGAGAAAGACUUUGUCUUAAAAAAGUAAAAACUAUUACGGUUUUCUUAGGUGUUUGAAUGGGG